rnacentral:rRNA from 1 species
UACGGGGGGAGCAAGCGUUGUUCGGAUUUACUGGGCGUAAAGGGCGCGUAGGCGGCCACUGCAAGUCGGUUGUGAAAUCUCCGGGCUUAACCCGGAAAGGUCAAUCGAUACUGCAGGGCUAGAGUGCGGAAGGGGCAACUGGAAUUCUCGGUGUAGCGGUGAAAUGCGUAGAUAUCGAGAGGAACACCUGCGGCGAAGGCGGGUUGCUGGGCCGACACUGACGCCGACAGCGCGAAAGCUAGGGGAGCGAACGGG